rnacentral:rRNA from 1 species
AUUGAACGCUGGCGGCAGGCCUAACACAUGCAAGUCGAACGAGUGGCGGACGGGUGAGUAAUGUCUGGGAAACUGCCUGAUGGAGGGGGAUAACUACUGGAAAAGGUAGCUAAUACCGCAUACCAUCGGAUGUGCCCAGAUGGGAUUAGCUAGUAGGUGGGGUAAAGGCUCACCUAGGCGACGAUCCCUCGCUGGUCUGAGAGGAUGACCAGCCACACGGGAACUGAGACACGGUCCAGACUCCGACGGGAGGCAGCAGGGGGGAAUAUGGGACAAGGGGCGAAAGCCUGAUACAGCCAUGCCGCGUGUAUGAAGAAGGUCUUCGGAUUGUAAAGCACUUUAAGUUGGGAGGCGUUACCAACAGAAUAAGCACCGGCUAACUUCGUGCCAGCCGCCGCGGUAAUUC